rnacentral:rRNA from 1 species
AGACCCUCGGGAAGAUAGUUUACUAUCUUUGCCGGCGAGCGGCGGACGGGUGAGUAAUGCCUAGGGAUCUGCCCAGUCGAGGGGGAUAACAGUUGGAAACGACUGCUAAUACCGCAUACGCCCUACGGGGGAAAGGAGGGGACCUUCGGGCCUUCCGCGAUUGGAUGAACCUAGGUGGGAUUAGCUAGUUGGUGAGGUAAUGGCUCACCAAGGCGACGAUCCCUAGCUGUUCUGAGAGGAUGAUCAGCCACACUGGGACUGAGACACGGCCCAGACUCCUACGGGAGGCAGCAGUGGGGAAUAUUGCACAAUGGGGGAAACCCUGAUGCAGCCAUGCCGCGUGUGUGAAGAAGGCCUUCGGGUUGUAAAGCACUUUCAGUAGGGAGGAAAGGUAGCAGCUUAAUACGCUGUUGCUGUGACGUUACCUACAGAAGAAGGACCGGCUAACUCCGUGCCAGCAGCCGCGGUAAUACGGAGGGUCCGAGCGUUAAUCGGAAUUACUGGGCGUAAAGCGUGCGCAGGCGGUUUGUUAAGCGAGAUGUGAAAGCCCCGGGCUCAACCUGGGAAUUGCAUUUCGAACUGGCGAACUANAGUCUUGUAGAGGGGGGUAGAAUUCCAGGUGUAGCGGUGAAAUGCGUANAGAUCUGGAGGAAUACCGGUGGCGAAGGCGGNCCCCUGGACAAANACUUGACGCUCAGGCACAAAACGUGGGGAGCAAACAGGAU